GUUAAUGAUAUUUUAAAAGAAAUCAAAUUAGAUUAAAUACAAUCUUAUGCUUCGUUUGAGAUUGUAGGAAGAUUGUGUUACGUGCAAUGAGAAAGUACGAUAAAAAAAUAUCGUACUUGUUUCCGUAUGUAAUGUUGUGUUCUGCAUAUCGCGAUGAGUCGGUAACGAUAUAUUUUUUGCAGUUCCAUCUAAUAACGUACAAGCAUAUUCUUAUAUAUUUUUACACCAGCUUUAUUUUAUCAAAUAACUAAUUCUAUUUUAUUUAAUAAUAUUAGAUAGAGCUCAAUACCAAAUAAAAUCUUAAUUUACUAAUGAAAAGC
rnacentral:lncRNA from 1 species